rnacentral:ncRNA from 1 species
UUCCACUAGAGGUGCUGUUGAAAACAGCUGAGAUUGAAGUGAUCAACUUCGGGACUCUUUGAACCUGAACUAGUUAAGACUAGCGGAGGAAAGUGGG